rnacentral:rRNA from 1 species
GUGGGGAAUCUUAGACAAUGGGGGAAACCCUGAUCUAGCCAUGCCGCGUGAGCGAUGAAGGCCUUAGGGUUGUAAAGCUCUUUCAGUGGGGACGAUAAUGACGGUACCCACAGAAGAAGCCCCGGCUAACUUCGUGCCAGCAGCCGCGGUAAUACGAAGGGGGCUAGCGUUGUUCGGAUUUACUGGGCGUAAAGCGCACGUAGGCGGAUCGUUAAGUCGGGGGUGAAAUCCUGGAGCUCAACUCCAGAACUGCCUUCGAUACUGGCGAUCUUGAGUCCGGAAGAGGUGAGUGGAACUCCUAGUGUAGAGGUGGAAUUCGUAGAUAUUAGGAAGAACACCAGUGGCGAAGGCGGCUCACUGGUCCGGUACUGACGCUGAGGUGCGAAAGCGUGGGGAGCAAACAGGAUUAGAAACCCGAGUAGUCC